AACUUACUAAUAAUUUACAAUUAUUAAAAAUUUUCAUAGUAUAAUAUAAUAAUUGAGUCCCUAUCUUGAAAUCUCAAAGUUCAAGCACGUGUUAAAAGUAGAACGGGACUUGUUCGAAUAUUCUGAAUUUUUUUUUUGUAAAAAUUUCGGCAGCAUUUCUGCUUAUUUUUACCUAAAACCUCUUGCAAAUCCAAACUAAAACAACCAGCACCAAUUUUUCACAUUCAUAUAACUAAUAUUUAUAUCAUUAACAUAAUUUCAACUUAAUAACUAUCAUAUACUUUUCUUACCAUUUCAUUUAACCAUCUAAAUCUUAUAAUUCAACCUUCACUACCCAAAGUAAUAUGCAUAUUCAAGUGACUAUAUAACACAUAUGUACAUGCCACCUUUACCCAAAAGAAAAAUAUACAUCAACAAAUUUGUGUUGGAGUCGGGAAUGUUCUGGAUGCUGAACUGGGACACUUGACUUCUACUAAUCUGCGCACGGAAACAACCGUACGCUGAGUAUGGAUAUACUCAGUGAUAUUACCAUAAUUCAAAUUAUAUCAACAAUAGUAAAAACAUAAAUAUUAAAAUACCUAACAAUUAAUGUCAUAUGUACUAAUUCAUAAAUCAAUGUAUUUUCUCAAACUUAAAUUUAUAUCACUUAUGAAUAUACAUUUCAUACUUUUCUCUUAUUAUCACAAUUCCAAUUUCAAUUCGUAAUUCAAUUUAUUUUUCUCGUUUCAAUGCCUCAAAUUCACAUUUCAAUUUUUCACCCUAUUAACGUAACUCGGACUUUGGCGGAUACACGGAUCCAACCAAACACACCAAUAUGGCACCCAGUGCCUCAUCGGAUAGUUCGAAGUAAUAGUUGACACCCAGUGUCUCAUCAGCCUAGCCGAAGUAAAGUUGGUACCCGGUACCUCAUCGAAUCUAUCCGAAGAAAUAUAGUGACACCCAGUGUCUCAUCGACUCGAGGUCGGAGUAUCCCUGAACACUUCCAAUCCUAUGGCAUGCCAACUAUAUCCGACUUAGCCCGACUAGUUAAUAGGGUAUUCAAUUCACUUUCUCAAUCCUAUAUCACUUUCAAUUCACAAUUCAAAUCACCAAACAUUUUUCAAUCAAUACGCUUCUCAAAUAAUUACAUAUUCCAUAAUUCACUUAUUCAAUUCAAUUUGAUUCAAUUUGCAUCACUUUCAUUUUCACUCAAUAUUCAUAUCAAUUUCACAUACUUACCUCAAGUCUUACUUACCAUACAUAACAAUAAAAAAAAUUCAGCAAUCAAUAAUAAUUAAAAUUCGAAUUAUAGUAAUACACACAGUAAUUCUCCCGUUUUAGUCCUCGAUGACUUUCUCCUUUCCUUUCGAUGCUGAUGCUUCAGGUUCUUUGUUGGCUACGAAAAUAAUAAUUUAUAAUCAUCAAUACAACAUGAUUCAAUUUAAUUCAUGAGCCUAAACAUGCAAAUUUAACCAUUUUUAAUGUAUAUAUAUAAUUUCACCAUUAAGCUGUCUACUUGAGUCAUUGUUACUAAAUUAUUUAUAUCUUGAGUUACGAAACUCCAAAUUAAUAUCCGUAAAUUUUCCUUAAAACUAGACUCAUAUAUCUUCUAACCAUAAAAUUUUCAGAAUUUUUGGUCUAGCCAUUUAGUACAGUUUAUUCGUUAAAUACUCCCCUGUUAUUUCAUUUGACAGUUCUGACAUCUCUCUACUAAAAAUAAAUUAUCUCAUUGUACAGAACUCGAAUAAGGUUCUUGUUUAUUUAUUUUGAAACUAGAUUCAUUAAGGAGUUCACAUAUAUAAAUUACACUCCAUAAUAAUUUUUGUACAAUUUUUAAUGAUUUUCCAAAGUUAAAACAGGGCAUCUCGAAAUCACCCCGAACCAGUAUUACAAAAUUUCAAAUAUCUCUUGAUUCAUCAAUUAAUUGCUUACACUGUUUCUACUAUAAGAAACUAGACUCAAUAAGCUUUAAUUCCAUAUUUUGUUCAUCCACUAGUUCAAUUCAUAAAAUUUUUAGUGAAUUUUCAAAGUCAGACCAUUGCUACUUCCGAAAACUGUUUUGAUGUAAAAUGUUAAUAACCAAAUUUAUAACACCAAUUCACACCUUAUUCCUAUUCAAAUUUCAUUUAAACUCAAAUUUAAUUAUUAAAUUUUUAACAUAUUUUCUUAAUUCUGAAUUUUCCUCAAUUUAAUCCCUAAAACACAAAACUUAUAGCUUACUUUGCAAUUCAAUCCUUAUAUCUAUUCUAACUUGAAUUUCAUUCAAUUAAACCCCUAUUUCAUCAUUUUAUUCAACAUGAACUUUGUUUAAAAACCUAAGAACUUCCAAACUAACAACUUAAUUUCAUCAAAAACUUGUUUUAAGACUUCUAAAAUAUCAAAAUUAUGAGAAAAGGACUUGAUUGAGCUUACCAAUUAACUCCAAGCUUCAUAAACCUUAUUUCCCCUUUUCUUUCUUCUUUCCUUUCUUUCUCC
rnacentral:lncRNA from 1 species